rnacentral:rRNA from 1 species
AUCAUGGAGAGUUCGAUCCUGACUCAGAACGAACGCUGGCGGCGCGUCUUAAGCAUGCAAGUCGAGCGGGAUUAUCCAGCUUGCUGGAUAUGAGAGCGGCGGACUGGUGAGUAACGCGUGGGUGACGUGCCCUUCUGCCCGGGAUAGCCGGUAGAAAUACCGGAUAAUACCGGAUGAGCUCCGCGGCGCUGGAGGCCGCGGAGGAAAGGAGCUAUUGUUCCGCGGAAGGAGCGGCCCGCGUCCCAUCAGCUG